rnacentral:rRNA from 1 species
GAUGAACGCUGGCGGCGUGCCUAAUACAUGCAAGUCGAGCGAACAGACGAGGAGCUUGCUCCUCUGACGUUAGCGGCGGACGGGUGAGUAACACGGGGAUAACCUACCUAUAAGACUGGGAUAACUUCGGGAAACCGGAGCUAAUACCGGAUAAUAUAUUGAACCGCAUGGUUCAAUAGUGAAAGACGGUUUUGCUGUCACUUAUAGAUGGAUCCGCGCCGCAUUAGGUAGUUGGUAAGGUAACGGCUUACCAAGGCAACGAUGCGUAGCCGACCUGAGAGGGUGAUCGGCCACACUGGAACUGGGACACGGUCCAGACCCCUACGGGAGGCAGCAGUAGGGAAUCUUCCGCAAGGGGCGAAAGCCUGACGGAGAAACGCCGCGUGAGUGAUGAAGGUCUUCGGAUCGUAAAACUUUGUUAUUAGGAAGAACAAAUGUGUAAGUAACUAUGCACGUCUUGACGGUACCUAAUCAGAAAGCCACGGCUAACUACGUG